rnacentral:rRNA from 1 species
AGAGUUUGAUCAUGGCUCAGAUUGAACGCUGGCGGCAGGCCUAACACAUGCAAGUCGAGCGGUAGCACAGAGAGCUUGCUCUCGGGUGACGAGCGGCGGACGGGUGAGUAAUGUCUGGGAAACUGCCUGAUGGAGGGGGAUAACUACUGGAAACGGUAGCUAAUACCGCAUAAUGUCGCAAGACCAAAGUGGGGGACCUUCGGGCCUCAUGCCAUCAGAUGUGCCCAGAUGGGAUUAGCUUGUAGGUGGGGUAACGGCUCACCUAGGCGACGAUCCCUAGCUGGUCUGAGAGGAUGACCAGCCACACUGGAACUGAGACACGGUCCAGACUCCUACGGGAGGCAGCAGUGGGGAAUAUUGCACAAUGGGCGCAAGCCUGAUGCAGCCAUGCCGCGUGUGUGAAGAAGGCCUUCGGGUUGUAAAGCACUUUCAGCGGGGAGGAAGGCGUUAAGGUUAAUAACCUUGGCGAUUGACGUUACCCGCAGAAGAAGCACCGGCUAACUCCGUGCCAGCAGCCGCGGUAAUACGGAGGGUGCAAGCGUUAAUCGGAAUUACUGGGCGUAAAGCGCACGCAGGCGGUCUGUCAAGUCGGAUGUGAAAUCCCCGGGCUCAACCUGGGAACUGCAUUCGAAACUGGCAGGCUAGAGUCUUGUAGAGGGGGGUAGAAUUCCAGGUGUAGCGGUGAAAUGCGUAGAGAUCUGGAGGAAUACCGGUGGCGAAGGCGGCCCCCUGGACAAAGACUGACGCUCAGGUGCGAAAGCGUGGGGAGCAAACAGGAUUAGAUACCCUGGUAGUCCACGCCGUAAACGAUGUCGAUUUGGAGGUUGUGCCCUUGAGGCGUGGCUUCCGGAGCUAACGCGUUAAAUCGACCGCCUGGGGAGUACGGCCGCAAGGUUAAAACUCAAAUGAAUUGACGGGGGCCCGCACAAGCGGUGGAGCAUGUGGUUUAAUUCGAUGCAACGCGAAGAACCUUACCUGGUCUUGACAUCCACAGAACUUAGCAGAGAUGCUUUGGUGCCUUCGGGAACUGUGAGACAGGUGCUGCAUGGCUGUCGUCAGCUCGUGUUGUGAAAUGUUGGGUUAAGUCCCGCAACGAGCGCAACCCUUAUCCUUUGUUGCCAGCGGUUCGGCCGGGAACUCAAAGGAGACUGCCAGUGAUAAACUGGAGGAAGGUGGGGAUGACGUCAAGUCAUCAUGGCCCUUACGACCAGGGCUACACACGUGCUACAAUGGCAUAUACAAAGAGAAGCGACCUCGCGAGAGCAAGCGGACCUCAUAAAGUAUGUCGUAGUCCGGAUUGGAGUCUGCAACUCGACUCCAUGAAGUCGGAAUCGCUAGUAAUCGUAGAUCAGAAUGCUACGGUGAAUACGUUCCCGGGCCUUGUACACACCGCCCGUCACACCAUGGGAGUGGGUUGCAAAAGAAGUAGGUAGCUUAACCUUCGGGAGGGCGCUUACCACUUUGUGAUUCAUGACUGGGGUGAAGUCGUAACAAGGUAACCGUAGGGGAACCUGCGGUUGGAUCACCU